CGGGCAGGAGCUCAGUGGUUGAGCUCCCGCAUCGUAUUCGAGAAGACCUGGGUUCGAUUCCCGGCUGCUUCC
rnacentral:tRNA from 1 species